rnacentral:rRNA from 1 species
GUGAGGAAUAUUGGUCAAUGGGCGGAAGCCUGAACCAGCCAAGUCGCGUGAAGGAAGAAGGAUCUAUGGUUUGUAAACUUCUUUUGAAGGGGGAUAAAGUGCGUCACGAGUGGUGCAUUGCAGGUACCCUUGGAAUAAGCAUCGGCUAACUCCGUGCCAGCAGCCGCGGUAAUACGGAGGAUGCGAGCGUUAUCCGGAUUUAUUGGGUUUAAAGGGUGCGUAGGUGGCUUUUUAAGUCAGCGGUGAAAACUGGCGGCUCAACCGCAAGAGUGCCGUUGAAACUGGGGAGCUAGAGUAUGAACGAGGUAGGCGGAAUGUGUGGUGUAGCGGUGAAAUGCAUAGAUAUCACGCAGAACUCCGAUAGCGAAGGCAGCUUACCAGGCCAUAACAGACACUGAAGCACGAAAGCGUGGGGAUCGAACAGGAUUAGAAACCCUAGUAGUCC